rnacentral:rRNA from 1 species
AGAGUUUGAUCCUGGCUCAGGAUGAACGCUAGCUACAGGCUUAACACAUGCAAGUCGAGGGGCAGCAUUGGAGUAGCAAUACUUCAGAUGGCGACCGGCGCACGGGUGAGUAACACGUAUCCAACCUGCCGCUUACUCGGGGAUAGCCUUUCGAAAGAAAGAUUAAUACCCGAUGGUAUAAAGAGUUCGCAUGUUCUCUUUAUUAAAGAAUUUCGGUAAGCGAUGGGGAUGCGUUCCAUUAGAUAGUUGGCGGGGUAACGGCCCACCAAGUCUACGAUGGAUAGGGGUUCUGAGAGGAAGGUCCCCCACAUUGGAACUGAGACACGGUCCAAACUCCUACGGGAGGCAGCAGUGAGGAAUAUUGGUCAAUGGACGAGAGUCUGAACCAGCCAAGUAGCGUGAAGGAUGACUGCCCUAUGGGUUGUAAACUUCUUUUAUAAGGGAAUAAAGUGAGGGACGUGUCCCUUUUUGUAUGUACCUUAUGAAUAAGGAUCGGCUAACUCCGUGCCAGCAGCCGCGGUAAUACGGAGGAUCCAAGCGUUAUCCGGAUUUAUUGGGUUUAAAGGGAGCGUAGGUUGACAUAUAAGUCAGCUGUGAAAGUUUACGGCUCAACCGUGAAAUUGCAGUUGAUACUGUAUGUCUUGAGUGUACAAGAGGUGGGCGGAAUUCGUGGUGUAGCGGUGAAAUGCUUAGAUAUCAC